AGUGAACGCUGGCGGCAGGCCUAACACAUGCAAGUCGAACGGCAGCGCAGCAGUAGCAAUACUGUGGGCGGCGAGUGGCGGACGGGUGAGGAAUACAUCGGAAUCUACCUUGUCGUGGGGGAUAACGUAGGGAAACUUACGCUAAUACCGCAUACGACCUACGGGUGAAAGCGGCGGACCGCAAGGCGUCGUGCUAUUAGAUGAGCCUAUGUCAGAUUGGCUUGUUGGUGGGGUAACGGCCUACCAAGGCGACGAUCUGUAACUGGUCUGAGAGGAUGAUCAGUCACACUGGAACUGAGACACGGUCCAGACUCCUACGGGAGGCAGCAGUGGGGAAUAUUGGACAAUGGGCGAAAGCCUGAUCCAGCAAUACCGCGUGUGUGAAGAAGGCCUUAGGGUUGUAAAGCACUUUUAAUCGGGAGGAAUACCUAAUCGCUAAUACCGAUUAGAAUGACAUUACCGAUAGAAAAAGCACCGGCUAACUCCGUGCCAGCCGCCGCCGUAACAC
rnacentral:rRNA from 1 species